GCCGCGGCGGCGGAGAACAAAAAGCCGCGGCGGCGAAGGGCAAAAGAGCCGCUGUGAUGAGGGUCAAAAAGCUGCGGCGACGCGGGGCAAAAUAGUGGAGAUGGGGUAGAAGGCCGGCACAGCUUGGCUUUGCUGGAGUGUGAUGUGAUAGGAAAUGUGCAGCCAAAGACAAAAAAAGAUGUGUUGUCAUGUAUAUGAUCUCAGUAUUUUAAAAAUCAGCUUCCGGCCCAUAUGGUGGUUCAUGCUUGUAAUACCAGCAGUUGAAGAGGCUGAAAUGAGAGGAUUCCUUGAGCCCAGGAGUUCAAAAGCAACCUGGGCAACAUAGCAAGACCCAGUCUCUAUCAAAAGUUAAAAAAAUAAAAAGUGGGCAUGGUGGU
rnacentral:lncRNA from 1 species